GAUAAACUGUCACUCAUCUUAUCUCGAUGUAUCAAAGUAAGUAUGCACACCCUACAUGUAGUGCUUAAACCUAUGUUACUAAAGGAUAUUAACUAAUUACUGGACUACAGAGUUUAAAAGUCAAGGGAAACAAAGCGAGUGCAGGGAUUCCAGAAAACACAGUAGCAAUAAACCAAAAAAUCCAAGCUGGGUCAAGGAGUACAGAGAUAAAAGUAGUUAGAUAAGCCAGGAAAUCACAGAUAAUCAGGGACAUGCUAUUGGGACCACAAGGAAACCACAACUGAGCAUUGAACAGAUGAAAAGCUCAAGUAUUUAUAGGCCUUGUGUGUUUCCUUGGUAGGCACCACUCUAAAAUAUGAGAAGGCAUCAGCAAUGACACAAUGAUGUCAUGGAGUGGGAUGACAAAAAGGGAAGAGCUACAUCAGCUGGUGUCACAAACUGGCAAAGGUGUCUGAGGGUGUGUAGCUGAUGUGAAUGGACACCAUGCGCAUGCACAAUGUAGCGUUCAGUACUUCUGAUUGAGAAGAAUUGCAGUAGGUUAUUGGCUGUGCAUGCACCCAAGGUCUAACAAUGAUUUUCAAUGAGAAGCAUUUGAUUGGACCUCCAACAGGGAACCAGUGAUGUAUAUUGAUAGUGAAAUAAGAGGGAAGUGGGGAGUGACGGGAACUUGGCCUUGUGCUGGAUUUAAGGUAUGUUUUUAGAUUAUUUUAUUGGUUCUUAACUAUAAAAUGGCGGUGUGGGUUAAAUAAAUGAGAAUUGUACAUUAAGCCUUGGUCACUGUUGAUUGGCAUUGCUCAUUGUUGCCUAGUUUGUUGGGAAUUGUUGUAUACAACACAUUAGGCAACAAUGUGUAAUGUCAAUCAGCAGUGGCUAAGGCCAGUAAGGUAUUAUUAUGCAUGAAAAAAGGCAUUCAUUCUCGGGAUGAGAAUAUAAUUUUGCCUCUUUAUAAAUCACUGAUAAGACCACAUCUUGAAUAUGCUGUGGAAUUUGGGGCACCUGUUCUAAAGAAGGAUAUUUUGACACAAGUAAGAGUGCAGAGGCGGGCUACAAAAUUAAUAAAAGGAAUGGAAGAUAUCAGCUAUGAAGAAAGGUUAACAAAUUUAAACCUCUUUAGUUCAGAAAAAGAUGAUAACAUUAUACAAAUAUAUCCGGGGCCAAUACAAACCAUUGUGUGGAAAUCUAUUCACAAACAGGACUAUACAUAGGACACGCAGUAAUGCGCUUAGACUUGAAGACAGAAGAUUUAGUCUUUUACUGUAAGAACAAUAAGGAUGUGGAAUUCUCUGCCUGAAGAAGUGGUUUUAUCAGAGUCUGUAGAGAUGUUUAAACAGCAACUAGAUGCAUACUUGCAAAACCAUAUUCAAUUAUAUAAUUUUUCAAUGUAGGGUAAUUGCUUCUUGGUUCACGGAUAAAUCUGACUGUCAUUUUGGAGUCAAGAAAGUAUUUUUUUUUCCUAGUUUGCUGCAAAAUUGUAAGUGCUUCAAACCGUGUUUUGUUUUUUUUUUUGCUUUCUUUUGGAUCAACGGUAAAAACCAGGUGUGAGGAAGGCUGAACUUGAUGGACACAUGUCUCUUUUCGGCCUAUGUAACUAUGUAAGCCAUAUACAUAGCUUAAAUAACAUUGGUUGGCAAAAGGUUUGGAGUUACCCUUCAAGACCUAAUAUAACAAAUUAAUAAAAGCCAGAAGGUGAAAAUGUUUCACAGCCACCUAUCUGAUUUGAUGCAUAAUAAAUAAAAAAUAAAAAAAGUAUCAGGAUGUAACAGUGGUAGAAAAUCUGGCCUUUCAGCAACCUUGGAUGUUAUGGACUGAACAGCGUGUAUUUAUAUUAUAGCAGGUACGUUAAAACUGUUGAUAGGUAAAUAGGUGAGAAUUUAGCAUAUCUGACAGCAAGGGAACUAGAGUACAUCAUACUAUAUUUGUUAUACAGUAAAUCUGAUGAGAGAUCCUGUCAAAUGUAUGGAAAAAAAAAUGCUCCCUAUAGCUUGUUGACAAAAAAUAGUAAGUGACCACAGGCCAUGAAUAAAGUACACACCUUUG